AACUUUUGGCAACGGAUCUCUUGGUUCUGGCAUCGAUGAAGAACGCAGCGAAAUGCGAUAAGUAAUGAGAAUUGCAGAAUUCAGUGAAUCAUCGAAUCUUUGAACGCACAUUGCGCCCGGUGGUAUUCCGCCGGGCAUGCCUGUUCGAGCGUCAUUUAAACCAAUCCAGCCUCGUGCUUGGGUCUUGGGCCUUUCGCCUCUGGGCGGGCCUCAAAAUCAGUGGCGGUGCCGUCUGGCUCUAAGCGUGGUAAUACUCCUCGCUAUAGACGUCCGGUGGUGUCUUGCCAACACCCCCUAAUUUUAAAGCUUGACCUCGGAUCACGUAGGGAUACCCGCUGAACUUAAGCACAUCAAUAAGCGGAGGCU
rnacentral:misc_RNA from 1 species